rnacentral:rRNA from 1 species
UACGUAGGGUGCGAGCGUUGUCCGGAAUUAUUAGGCGUAAAGCGCACGUAGGCGGCUUUGCAAGUCGGAUGUGAAAUCCCACGGCUCAACCAUGGAAGUGCAUCCGAAACUGCAGAGCUUGAGUACUUAAGAGGAUCGCGGAAUUCCCGGUGUAGAGGUGAAAUUCGUAGAUAUCGGGAGGAACACCAGUGGCGAAGGCGACUACCUGGCCUGUUCUUGACGCUGAGGCGCGAAAGCUAGGGGAGCAAACGGG